rnacentral:rRNA from 1 species
CCUACGGGUAGCAGCAGUGAGGAAUAUUGGUCAAUGGACGCAAGUCUGAACCAGCCAUGCCGCGUGCAGGAAGACGGCUCUAUGAGUUGUAAACUGCUUUUGUACGAGGGUAAACGCAGAUACGCGUAUCUGUCUGAAAGUAUCGUACGAAUAAGGAUCGGCUAACUCCGUGCCAGCAGCCGCGGUAAUACGGAGGAUUCAAGCGUUAUCCGGAUUUAUUGGGUUUAAAGGGUGCGUAGGCGGUCGGAUAAGUUAGAGGUGAAAUCCCGAGGCUCCACUUCGGAAUUGCCUCUGAUACUGUUCGGCUAGCGAGUAGUUGCGGUAGGCUGAAUGUAUGGUGUAGCUGUGAAAUGCUUAGAGAUCAUACAGAACACCGAUUGCGAAGGCAGCUUACCAAGCUACUUCUGACGUUGAGGCACGAAAGCGUGGGGAGCAAACAGGAUUAGAUACCCUUGUAGUC